rnacentral:rRNA from 1 species
AUGACUUUUGUGCUUGCACAGAAUGAUUAGUGGCGAACGGGUGAGUAACACGUGAGUAACCUGCCCCUGACUCUGGGAUAAGCCUGGGAAACUGGGUCUAAUACUGGAUAUGCACCGUAGACCGCAUGGUUUUUGGUGGAAAGAAUUUUGGUCAGGGAUGGACUCGCGGCCUAUCAGCUUGUUGGUGAGGUAAUGGCUCACCAAGGCGACGACGGGUAGCCGGCCUGAGAGGGUGACCGGCCACACUGGGACUGAGACACGGCCCAGACUCCUACGGGAGGCAGCAGUGGGGAAUAUUGCACAAUGGGCGAAAGCCUGAUGCAGCGACGCCGCGUGAGGGAUGACGGCCUUCGGGUUGUAAACCUCUUUCAGUAGGGAAGAAGCGAAAGUGACGGUACCUGCAGAAGAAGCGCCGGCUAACUACGUGCCAGCAGCCGCGGUAAUACGUAGGGCGCAAGCGUUAUCCGGAAUUAUUGGGCGUAAAGAGCUCGUAGGCGGUUUGUCGCGUCUGCCGUGAAAGUCCGAGGCUCAACUUCGGAUCUGCGGUGGGUACGGGCAGACUAGAGUGAUGUAGGGGAGACUGGAAUUCCUGGUGUAGCGGUGAAAUGCGCAGAUAUCAGGAGGAACACCGAUGGCGAAGGCAGGUCUCUGGGCAUCUACUGACGCUGAGGAGCGAAAGCAUGGGGAGCGAACAGGAUUAGAUACCCUGGUAGUCCAUGCCGUAAACGUUGGGCACUAGGUGUGGGGGACAUUCCACGUUUUCCGCGCCGUAGCUAACGCAUUAAGUGCCCCGCCUGGGGAGUACGGCCGCAAGGCUAAAACUCAAAGGAAUUGACGGGGGCCCGCACAAGCGGCGGAGCAUGCGGAUUAAUUCGAUGCAACGCGAAGAACCUUACCAAGGCUUGACAUGUGCUAGAUCGCCAUAGAAAUAUGGUUUCCCCUUUGGGGCUGGUUCACAGGUGGUGCAUGGUUGUCGUCAGCUCGUGUCGUGAGAUGUUGGGUUAAGUCCCGCAACGAGCGCAACCCUCGUUCUAUGUUGCCAGCACGUUAUGGUGGGGACUCAUAGGAGACUGCCGGGGUCAACUCGGAGGAAGGUGGGGACGACGUCAAAUCAUCAUGCCCCUUAUGUCUUGGGCUUCACGCAUGCUACAAUGGCCGGUACAAUGGGUUGCGAUACUGUGAGGUGGAGCUAAUCCCAAAAAGCCGGUCUCAGUUCGGAUUGGGGUCUGCAACUCGACCCCAUGAAGUCGGAGUCGCU